UACAGAGGUCUCAAGCGUUGUUCGGAUUCAUUGGGCGUAAAGGGUGCGUAGGCGGCGCGGUAAGUCGGGUGUGAAAUCUUGGAGCUUAACUCCGAAACUGCAUUCGAUACUGCCGUGCUUGAGGACUGGAGAGGAGACUGGAAUUCUCGGUGUAGCGGUGAAAUGCGUAGAUAUCGAGAGGAACACCUGCGGCGAAGGCGGGUUGCUGGGCUGACACUGACGCUGAAGCGCGAAAGCCUAGGGGAGCGAACGGG
rnacentral:rRNA from 1 species